rnacentral:rRNA from 1 species
AGUGAACGCUGGCGGUAUGCCUAACACAUGCAAGUCGAACGGCAGCACAGUAAGAGCUUGCUCUUACGGGUGGCGAGUGGCGGACGGGUGAGGAAGACAUCGGAAUCUACUUUUUCGUGGGGGAUAACGUAGGGAAACUUUCGCGAAUACCGCAUACGACCUACGGGUGAAAGCAGGGGAUCUUCGGAACUUGCGCGAUUGAAUGAGCCGAUAUCGGAGUAGUUAGUUGGCGGGGUAAAGGCCCACCAAGGCGACGAUUCGUAGCUGGUCUGAGAGGAUGACCAGCCCCGGUGGAACUGAGAGACGGUCCACACUGCUACGGGAGGCCGCAGCGGGGACUUUUGGACGAUAGGCGCAAGCAUGAUCCAGCAAUGGCGCGUGGGUGAAGAAGGCCUUGGGGUUGUAAAGUCCUUGUGUUGGGAAAGAAAAGCAGCAGUUCAAUACGCAGCUGCAAUGACGGUACCCAAAGAAUAAGCACCGGCUAACUCCGUG